UACGAAGGGGGCUAGCGUUGCUCGGAAUUACUGGGCGUAAAGCGCACGUAGGCGGCUUUCUAAGUCGGGGGUGAAAUCCUGGAGCUCAACUCCAGAACUGCCUUCGAUACUGGAAAGCUCGAGUCCGGGAGAGGUGAGUGGAAUUCCGAGUGUAGAGGUGAAAUUCGUAGAUAUUCGGAGGAACACCAGUGGCGAAGGCGGCUCACUGGCUCGGUACUGACGCUGAGGUGCGAAAGCGUGGGGAGCAAACAGG
rnacentral:rRNA from 1 species